rnacentral:rRNA from 1 species
ACUGUCCAAAGGUAGCAUAAUCAUUAGUUUUUUAAUUGAAAGCUUGUAUGAAUGGUUGGACGAAGUAUUAACUGUUUCAUAAAAAUUUAUAGUAUAAUUUUAUUUUUUAGUCAAAAAGCUAAAAUGAGUUUAAAAGACGAGAAGACCCUAUAGAUCUUGAUAAUUUAUUUAUUAUGAUUAUAAAGAUUAUUUUUGUUAUAAUAAAAAAAAUUAUUUCAUUGGGGUGAUGUUAAAAUUUAAUAAACUUUUAAUUUUAAAAAACAUUAAUUUAUGAAUGACUGAUCCAUUUUUAGUGAUUAAAAAUUUAAGUUACCUUAGGGAUAACAGCGUAAUUUUUUUGGAGAGUUCAUAUCGAUAAAAAAGAUUGCGACCUCGAUGUUGGAUUAAGAUAUAAUUUUAGGUGUA